rnacentral:rRNA from 1 species
CAGUAGGGAUCUUCCACAAUGGACGAAAGUCUGAUGGAGCAACGCCGCGUGAGUGAAGAAGGUUUUCGGAUCGUAAAACUCUGUUGUUGGAGAAGAAUGUAUCUGAUAGUAACUGAUCAGGUAGUGACGGUAUCCAACCAGAAAGCCACGGCUAACUACGUGCCAGCAGCCGCGGUAAUACGUAGGUGGCAAGCGUUGUCCGGAUUUAUUGGGCGUAAAGCGAGCGCAGGCGGUUUCUUAAGUCUGAUGUGAAAGCCUUCGGCUCAACCGAAGAAGUGCAUCGGAAACUGGGAAACUUGAGUGCAGAAGAGGACAGUGGAACUCCAUGUGUAGCGGUGAAAUGCGUAGAUAUAUGGAAGAACACCAGUGGCGAAGGCGGCUGUCUGGUCUGUAACUGACGCUGAGGCUCGAAAGCAUGGGUAGCAAACAGGAUUAGAUACCCUGGUAGUCCAUGCCGUAAACGAUGAGUGCUAGGUGUUGGAGGGUUUCCGCCCUUCAGUGCCGCAGCUAACGCAUUAAGCACUCCGCCUGGGGAGUACGACCGCAAGGUUGAAACUCAAAGGAAUUGACGGGGCCAGCC